rnacentral:rRNA from 1 species
UACGUAGGGUGCAAGCGUUAAUCGGAAUUACUGGGCGUAAAGCGUGCGCAGGCGGUUAUGUAAGACAGAUGUGAAAUGCCCGGGCUUAACCUGGGAACUGCAUUUGUGACUGCAUGGCUAGAGUUUGGCAGAGGGGGGUAGAAUUCCACGUGUAGCAGUGAAAUGCGUAGAUAUGUGGAGGAACACCAGUGGCGAAGGCGACACGCUGGGCCAUACCUGACGCUAAAGCGCGACAGCAUGGGGAGCAAACGGG